rnacentral:rRNA from 1 species
CAGUAGCCGCGGGAAUACAGAGGGUGCGAGCGUUAAUCGGAUUUACUGGGCGUAAAGCGUGCGUAGGCGGCUUCUUAAGUCGGAUGUGAAAUCCCUGAGCUUAACUUAGGAAUUGCAUUCGAUACUGGGAAGCUAGAGUAUGGGAGAGGAUGGUAGAAUUCCAGGUGUAGCGGUGAAAUGCGUAGAGAUCUGGAGGAAUACCGAUGGCGAAGGCAGCCAUCUGGCCUAAUACUGACGCUGAGGUACGAAAGCAUGGGGAGCAAACAGGAUUAGAUACCCCGGUAGUCCCUGUCUCUUAUCA